UACGAAGGGGGGCUAGCGUUGCUCGGAAUCACUGGGCGUAAAGGGUGCGUAGGCGGGUCUUUAAGUCAGGGGUGAAAUCCUGGAGCUCAACUCCAGAACUGCCUUUGAUACUGGCGACCUUGAGUUCGGGAGAGGUGAGUGGAACUGCGAGUGUAGAGGUGAAAUUCGUAGAUAUUCGCAAGAACACCAGUGGCGAAGGCGGCUCACUGGCCCGGUACUGACGCUGAGGUGCGAAAGCGUGGGGAGCAAACAGG
rnacentral:rRNA from 1 species